GGAAUUAGAAGCCGGAGGUUGCAAAAACUUAGUCGAAAUUCAAAGCCUCAAUAGGUUGGAGUUUUUGGAAAAGCUAUAUAUCCAAGGAUGCACUUCAAUUGAAAGGCUAGAUCUUCCGAAGUCUGGGAAUCUAAAGGAUUUACAAGUUGGAGGUUGUGAAAACUUAGUUGAAAUUCAAAACCUCAAUUGGUUAGAGUUUUUGGAAAAACUAAAUAUUGAAGGGUGCACUUCAAUUGAAAGACUAGACCUUUCAAAACCCGGGAGGCUAAAGGAAUUAGAAGCUAGAGGUUGCAAAAAACUUAGCCGAAAUUCAAGAUCUUGACGAGUUGGAGUUUUUAGAAAAGCUAUAUAUCCAAGGUUGCAUUUCAAUUGAAAGGCUAAACCUUCCAAAUUUCGGGAGUUAGAAUUAGAUCUGAAGGUUGUGAUAACUUGCAGAAAUUCAAGGCCUCGAUAGGUUGGAGUUUUUAGAAGAACUGAGUAUUAUUGGAUGCAAGUCAUUCAAAACAAUUCCAGAAUUAUUGCAAACAUGGAUCUAUCAAGAAAAAGCCAUUUGCAUACAACACACCAAUAGAAUUUGUAUCAAACUAUACAUACGACUUGGAUGAGUAAUAUACUGGAAAUGAUCCAUAUUUUCUAACAAAGGCACAUAAAGCAAGUAAGUUACCUUCGCUCUUUUGCGAUCUACAACCUAAUUUUCAUUUGCAUUUUUGCUUGCAUUAUCUUUCAAGAUUUAUGAUAUUGUCAUUAUUAUCUCCUGGUUGACAGUGUCAUCAUUGUUUUCUUACUUGAAUUCAAGGAAUCCGAGGGAGAUGUUCAUGGAAAUUAAUGUGUGUUUUGGCAAAAUGAUUCCGCAUAUCAUACCAGUAGCAGAAUUAGACUAAAUGGCUUUCUAAGCGCAUCAUUUGUCAUUAGUCUUCAAGUAAGAUCAUUUAUCCUAUGCUGAAAAAUAAAGAUUCUUGACAUUUGAUUGAUUUUGGAAUCCUAGAAGUAUUGAAUAAAAAUUGAGGUAAACAAUUAUUUGAUAGCAUGCAAAAGGUCAUUGUAUAGGUCGAGAAAUGCUUUAUGACGGUAGUUCUAAUUUGAGGUUUUAAUUUGCUCUAUGCACACCAUGCAAUUCAUAAUUGUAUGUUUCUAAGGUACACUUAAGAGUAAAUUUAAGGUGCAAAAGAAGCAUGUUGAUAGGGCAUCCCUCAGUAUGCAUUAACUACUAACUUGGGAUAAAAUUUGUCCAACCAUUAUGUUCCACACAUUUUAUCUCAUAGAAUUGUUUGCAUGAGCUGAUUAAGGUAAUCGUAUUAGUUUAGAAAUGAUAAAUGCAAGACCAAGCUCUUCUCCUAGUGGUGUUUUCGUGAGUGAACUAGUAAACUGGGCAGAAGUAGAAGCACAAGCAUUCCGAAUUAUUCGGAUCAAUCAAGAAAAUUGCAAUUUGAAUUUUUCUGACUAUGGAUCCAUGUUCCUUUGGUUUGAAUCAGGAUACACCUACUCCAAGGCUAAUGAUAAAUUAUCCCAAAGAAUGCAUCUUGAUGUUUGUAGAGUUGAUAUACCCAUCUGUCAAUGCCUAAACUUAUGAGCCAAGCAAAACAUAUAGAAUGUCUUUUGACAUUAUCGGCUAUACCGUGAAAUAAUUCAUUAUAUUGUGCAUAAGCUCUUGUUAGUUCAUUUACUUGCUAGAAAGAAAAGCACAAGAAGCAUUUCCACAAGUUUCCUAAGAAAACUUUUCGGUAUCCUAUAUGCCAUUUGAAAAUUGUCUUGCAUUAAUUUUUUAAUGCAUGAAUAGAACAUAAUAAUAAGGAAAAUAAUCAUACUAUGUCCCCUAAAAGUAAGCAUCUUGAAUUGAAUACACUAUCUUAAUUGAUAAAAGAUUAUGUGGUUGAUGUUAGAUGUCCCGUUAUUGGAUCCAAGGGAUCCAAGGAGUUUGAAAAGAAUAUCAAGUUUAACAAACAGAGAUACGUAAAUUUUGGAGUAUCAUUAGUAAUUCAUUAAUGUUAGUCGUUGGAUUGAUUUCAUCUGACUCAUUGGCAGGAUUCAGUUAUUACUCCAUUGGUUGAUAUAAAUGCUGAAAUAUCCAAGACAGCUUUUGCAAGGCACUUCUAAAGGAAUCGAAAUCAUCAAAGGAUCAGAGAUCGAUGUUUCUUGAACUUCUCCAAAUUCUGACAGUGCAUCUCUGGAAUGUUUUCUCCGCAUACUCUCGGACUCAAGUGGACUUUUCUCACUCUCUCGCUCUUCCAUUCUUCAUCUCUGCUCUUCAACAGCCUCCGUUCCCUAUCUAGCCCCGAGCUUUCCUCUGGGUUUGGAGCCCUACCCUUCACAAGUUCUCUUUUAGCUCGCAUCCUUGCGAUUUGUUUCAGUAUUGGUGUUGCAUUUUCGGCUGCUCGCAGAGCUUUUUAGUUAUGGAGACCGAUGAAGGACCAGCACGUGCUUCCGUUUCAGCUUCAGUUCGACAAGCUGGCUUCUCAGCUGAAGAUGGCGAAGUGGAAUCCGGAGAAGGAUUUGCUGGCAAUGGUCACGGAGGACUCGAAGGUGGUGCUUCAUCGCUUCAAUUGGCAGAGGCUGUGGACAGUCUUCCUUGGUAAUUGCUUCGAUUAGAGAAAGUUCUCUUCUUAAUUCAGCGUGUUUGUUUCUUCAACGAUGGCUUUGUGCAUCCUUUGAGUCAUUGACCUUAUCUCGUUUUACUUCUUUCGGUUUUCCCAAAUUUGCUCUUCUUCCGUUUCUGGAGAGAACCUUUGUAAUUGCCAACCUAGCUCGAUUUGCGUUCAAUGGAGAAUUGGACAAAUAUAGGGGUGAAGUGCUUGAAAGUCUAAAUGAGAACAUAAUGUCGAACUAAAGAGUUGGUGUUUUACAAAAAACGAUGAAUGAAUGAAGGUGAUACCGGUGGGAAUCUAGAGGUGACUUGGUUGCAAAUAAAGAAGUCCAAACUGAUAUCAGCUGAACAGAGGGACUUUAGUUAUAGGCGUGAUAGAUCCCUAUCAACUUUCAUACAAGGUUGGUGCCUUAGGAUAUUUUUUCCCUAACUCAACCAACAGUCAUAUAGACCAACCGGAAGUGUACCAUACUGCUGUAUUGCCAUCUUGUUUCUCUUCUGGGUACACCAGUUAAAGUGUCCAUGAAAAUAAAGAUUUUGAAUUGGAGAGGAUGUCAUUUGUGCUAGAUAGAUAGACUAGCUAUGUCAGAUGCAAAAAGGCUUGACUUCCCAAUGGAGUUGGCAGGUUUAGGCCCUACAGAAUACCAUCUCAAUUUUGCCAAGCAUAUAUAUGGUCUUCCUUAGAUUUCUAAUGCGAACUCUCAUAAUGUAAUGCUACUUCUGGCUCCUCUUCUUCCUCUUCAUAGUUUUCCUUGGAAAGGCUAUAUUUGUACAAUGCGAAUGUCUUCAUAACAAAUAGACAAAAUCGGCACUUAGUAAGCUUAAGGCUUUAACAUUGAUGAAGAUAUGCACAUUGUACAUACUGUAUUAGUUAUGCUGUGUCGGUCACAAAUUACACCAUACAAAUACUCUAAGUCCUGGUUUUACAUAAAAACUUCAAGUAGUACAAAAUGUGACCGACAUAUCUUCAUCAAUGUUAAAGCCUUAAGGUUACAAAGUCCUGGGUAUCAUAAAAUCUUGUAUUUGUAUGGUGUAAUUUGUGACCAAUACUUAAAAACAAUGCAUAGACAAUUUAUUGUCAUAAACUUAUUGAACUAAAUAUAAACAGGUCGAGAUAGGUCAGGUUGCUAAACAAGUUGGGGCAAUUGUUUUGUUAGAUUACAUGACAUGACAUGAUUACCACUCAUAGUCACCCAAAAUUGUCACAUGAAAAGAUAAGUCAUGACUAAAAAUAUUAAAUCUAAUAUUAGGAAGUUUGAUAUAGUGUUUAUGAUUGGUAUUCUAUGGCAGAUGUUUCGCCUAUAUAAGAGUGACUUCUCCAAAAAUUGAAUGAGACCAGAGUUUGAGAGAAUCCCUG